CACGUAGGGUGCGAGCGUUGUCCGGAAUUAUUGGGCGUAAAGAGCUCGUAGGCGGCUUGUCGCGUCGGAUGUGAAAGCCCGGGGCUUAACUCCGGGUCUGCAUUCGAUACGGGCAGGCUAGAGUUCGGUAGGGGAGAUCGGAAUUCCUGGUGUAGCGGUGAAAUGCGCAGAUAUCAGGAGGAACACCGGUGGCGAAGGCGGAUCUCUGGGCCGAUACUGACGCUGAGGAGCGAAAGCGUGGGGAGCGAACAGG
rnacentral:rRNA from 1 species